UCGAGCGGUAGAGAGAAGCUUGCUUCUCUUGAGAGCGGCGGACGGGUGAGUUAAUGCCUAGGAAUCUGCCUGGUAGUGGGGGAUAACGUUCGGAAACGGACGCUAAUACCGCAUACGUCCUACGGGAGAAAGCAGGGGACCUUCGGGCCUUGCGCUAUCAGAUGAGCCUAGGUCGGAUUAGCUAGUUGGUGAGGUAAUGGCUCACCAAGGCUACGAUCCGUAACUGGUCUGAGAGGAUGAUCAGUCACACUGGAACUGAGACACGGUCCAGACUCCUACGGGAGGCAGCAGUGGGGAAUAUUGGACAAUGGGCGAAAGCCUGAUCCAGCCAUGCCGCGUGUGUGAAGAAGGUCUUCGGAUUGUAAAGCACUUUAAGUUGGGAGGAAGGGCAGUUACCUAAUACGUGAUUGUUUUGACGUUACCGACAGAAUAAGCACCGGCUAACUCUGUGCCAGCAGCCGCGGUAAU
rnacentral:rRNA from 1 species